AUUGAACGCUGGCGGCAGGCCCAACACAUGCAAGUCGAGCGGAUGAGGGGAGCUUGCUCCUUGAUUCAGCGGCGGACGGGUGAGUAAUGCCUAGGAACCUGCCUAUUAGUGGGGGAUAACGUUCCGAAAGGAACGCUAAUACCACAUACGUCCUACGGGAGAAAGUGGGGGAUCUUCGGACCUCACGCUAAUAGAUGAGCCUAGGUCGGAUUAGCUAGUUGGUGGGGUAACGGCUCACCAAGGCGACGAUCCGUAGCUGGUCUGAGAGGAUGAUCAGCCACACUGGAACUGAGACACGGUCCAGACUCCUACGGGAGGCAGCAGUGGGGAAUAUUGGACAAUGGGCGAAAGCCUGAUCCAGCCAUGCCGCGUGUGUGAAGAAGGUCUUCGGAUUGUAAAGCACUUUAAGUUGGGAGGAAGGGUUGUAAGCUAAUACGUGGGUACUUUGACGUUACCAACAGAAUAAGCACCGGCUAACUCUGUGCCAGCAGCCGCCGCGGUAA
rnacentral:rRNA from 1 species